rnacentral:rRNA from 1 species
UACGUAGGGGGCAAGCGUUGUCCGGAUUUAUUGGGCGUAAAGAGCGUGUAGGCGGCCUGACAGGUCUGCUGUGAAAACUCGAGGCUCAACCUCGAGAUGUCGGCGGAAACCGUCUGGCUAGAGUCCGGAAGAGGAGAGUGGAAUUCCUGGUGUAGCGGUGAAAUGCGCAGAUAUCAGGAGGAACACCGGUGGCGAAGGCGGGUCUCUGGGCAGUAACUGACGCUGAGGAGCGAAAGCGUGGGGAGCGAACAGG